rnacentral:lncRNA from 1 species
AGAACAGUGAGUGACGUUUGAUAAAAAUGAAGAAAUAAUGACAAGAGAAAAUAUUGUCUCAAUUGUAUCAGAUUAACCGAAACCAUUAACGUCAGAGCUUGAUGGAACAAUCACCCAUCAUUUUAAACAAAAUCAUCAGGCUGAGUUUGACCAAGAGCUCGGAUUUACCACCUCUGACUUAGGACAUAGGACCCUCCGAGGGAUUUUACAAGCCAUUCUGAGGAACAUUUUGGGUCUUGUGCUCAAGGAAAUGGCUUCUUCAAGGAUUCCACAAGAUAAGUUAUACCCUCAGUUCUUUGCUUUACAUGGACAAGAGCUUUGACCUCCAAAACUGGGUGAAAUGAGACAUUUGCUUGUAUUUGUUUUUAUUUUAAGCAGCUCUUCAUAUGUAUAAUUUCCUUUUGCCCCAUUGAGAAGAGUACAUUAUAAUUUCCAGAGAAUUCAAACUUUCUUUUCAGUUUUUAAAUCUGUGACUUGGAUACAUCUCGGGGAAAUUCUGCCCAAGAACCAGUGGAGACCAAACUGGGAUGAGAAGACACAUCGACAGUGAUUUACCCAAGAUGGGGUUUAUUUAGUAGCACCAACUGCCAGUCCUUCCCAUACAGAUGCCUAUGGGGCAGACAGAUAGGAAGACAGCAAGCCACUCACAAACAUGAAUAGAAAGGGAGAAAUGCUCGUUCAUUCCUUGUUUCUUUUAUUCAUUUCACCAAUAUUUACUGAGCACUUACUAUGGUCCAGACCAUGUUGGGCAUUGAGGAUAUGAAGCGAACAAGACAGUCAUUAUCUUUCCCUUAUAGGACUUACACCAGUAUCUCUGCUCUAGAGAUUUGGAUAGAGAGUGUCAAAUAUGAAAACAUGCCAGGGGGCUCAUUUAGCCAGCAGUUUUUACCCAGAUUAAUGGCUGAUCAGAAAAGAAAGGCCAAAGCACAAUUCAGCUAGCAUAUACAUAAGCCACAAAUGUAACAAUUCAAAGCCAUCUGAUGGACAUGAACACUAAAAUGUGAGGAUUUGAGCAUACUAAAUAAAUUGUUAAUUCUACUGUAGAAACUCCUUCUAUCUGGAAUUCAAGGAGAACUUUUACUUAAAUAUUAGUAGAAAUACUUUUAUGAUUAUUGCUUAAUGUGUUAGCAUACCAGCUGACCUCAGCCAAUUUGGUCAUGCAAAACUCUUAGGGUUUUUUUGUUUUGUUUUGUUUUUGUUUUUGUUUUGGUAGAAAAUGGCAGCUUUUAAAGAGGUUAGAGGUGGCUGAGCAUUCACUUCUCCCCCUACAAUCUGGCUAGUAGACUCUAAGGAAAGCUAAUUUCAAAGAAAACUCUGACACAUCCAGCUCUUUUCAGUUGAGGGGUUAUUAUCAAGCAAGCACAGAAGCAGCUCAUACAACUUGCUCUGUGAGCUCACUGAAGUCUCAGGCUUCUGUCCUGUUAGGUGCUCAGACCUUGCUUGGAAGGUCACUUGAGAUAGACACCCGCAAUUCCACAGAGGGGCUUCUGCUAACCAUGUGGACAGCUUCAGGCAGGCAGAGCCCUGGGGAUUCCUGGCUGGACACAGAACCAUAAAAAGAUCAAGAUUCAGGCAAAAUCACCAAAUAUCAUUGAUCCUUUGGUUGUUUAUACCCUGUUAUAAUACAGGGGAGUAUUUCCAUAAUAUUUUAGCCAAUCCACAUACUUUGAUUACCUUCAAUUUCACCAAAAGAGAACACUUUUAAGCAUGCAUCAGCUUAUUAACAAGCCACAAGUUUAACCCAAAUCUGCAUGCUAAUCAGACAAGCCAAAGUAAGAUACAGAUAAAAGAAGCUCUGCAAUACUUGUUCCAGCAGAGGGUUUUCCUCUGUAACCUGAGGCAAGUGUACCUGCCUGGUUGAAUUCUGUGAGGGCCUGAGUUUUAGCUCAACCCAAGUAACAGGCAUGUAAUCUCACAGUGUCUGUGCUGCAGUAUUUAAAGUAAAUUGCAAGUGAUAAAAUAGUCAAGGAAGCACUAUUAUUACUUGCUAUUACUUAUUAAUAAUAAAAUUAGUAUUAAUUACUAUUAUGGAUUACUAUUUAUGUUUUAGUUACUUAUUUAUGUAAGUACUGAUAAUUUGGGGAAAACUGUAUUGUUUUAAGUGAAAUGAGAAGAUAGGGCAUAAUAGUAACCAAACGAAAGGAAAUAACCAUUAAGAAACCCUUCACACAGAGAUAGAUAGAUAGAUUGGUAGAUAGAUUGAUUUACCUUUUUUUUUUUAUUAUACUUUAAGUUCUAGGGUACAUGUGCACAACGUGCAGGUUUGUUACAUAUGUAUACAUGUGGCAUGUUGGUGUGGUGCACCCAUUAACUGGUCAUUUACAUGAGGUGUAUCUCCUAAUGCUAUCCCUCUCCCCUCCCCCAACCCCAUGACAGGCCCUGGUGUGUGAUGUUCCCCUUCCCAUGCCCAGGUGUUCUCAUUGUUCAAUUCCCACCUAUGAGUGAGAACAUGCAGUGUUUGUCUUUUCGUCCUUGCGAUAGUUUGCCAAGAAUGAUGGUUUUCAGCUUCAUCCAUGUCCCUAAAAAGGACAUGAACUCAUCCUUUUUUAUGGCUGCAUAAUAUUCCAUGGUGUAUAUGUGCCACAUUUUCUUAAUCCAGUCUAUCAUUGAUGGACAUUUGGGUUGGUUCUAAGUUUUUACUAUUGUGAAUAGUGCUGCAAGAAACAUAUGUGUGCAUGUGUCUUUAUAGCAGCAUGAUUUAUUAUCCUUUGGGUAUAUAACCAGUAAUGGGAUGGCUGGGUCAAAUGGUAUUUCUAGUUCUAGAUCCUUGAGGAAUCGCCACACUGUCUACCACAAUGGUUGAACUAGUUUACAGUCCCACCAACAGUGUAAAAGUGUUUCUAUUUCUCCACAGCCUCUCCAGCACCUGUUGUUUCCUGAUUUUAUAAUGAUUGCCAUUCUAACUGGAGCGAGAUGGUAUCUCAUUGUGGUUUUGAUUUGCAUUUCUCUGAUGGCCAGUGAUGAUGAGCAUUCUUUCAUGUGUCUGUUGGCUGCAUAAACGUCUUCUUUUGAGAAGUGUCUGUUCAUAUCCUUUGCCCAUUUUUUGAUGUGGUUGUUUUAUUUUUUCUUGUAAAUUUGUUUGAGUUCUUUGUAGAUUCUGGAUAUUAGCCCUUUGCAAAAAUUUUCUCCCAUUCUGUAGGUUGCCUGUUCACUCUGAUGGUAGUUUCUUUUGCUGUGCAGAAACUCUUUAGUUUAAUUAGAUCCCAUUUGUCAAUUUCGGCUUUUGUUGCCACUGCUUUGGUGUUUUAGUCAUGAAGUCCUUGCCCAUGCCUAUGUCCUGAAUGGUAUUGCUUAGGUUUUCUUCUAGGAUUUUUAUGGUUUUAGGUCUAACAUUUAAGUCUUUAAUCCAUCUUGAAUUAAUUUUUGUAUAAGGUGUAAGGAAGGGAUCUAGUUUCAGCUUUCUACAUAUGGCUAGCCAGUUUUCCCAGCACCAUUUAUUAAAUAGGGAAUCCUUUCCCCAUUUCUUGUUUUUGUCAGAUUUGUCAAAGAUCAGAUGGUUGUAGAUGUGUGGUAUUAUUUCUGAGGGCUCUGUUCUUAUCCAUUGGUCUAUAUCUCUGUUUUGGUACAAGUACCAUGCUGUUUUGGUUACUAUAGCCUUUUAGUAUAGUUUGAAGUCAGGUAGCAUGAUGCCUCCAGCUUUGUUCUUUUGGCUUAGGAUUGUCUUGGCAAUGUGGGCCCUUUUUUGGUUCCAUAUGAACUUUAAAGUAGUUUUUUCCAAUUCUGUGAAGAAAGUCAUUGGUAGCCUGAUGGGGAUGGCAUUGAAUCUAUAAAUUACCUUGGGCAGUAAGGCCAUUUUUGAUUUACUGAUAGAUGAUAGAUAGAUCCUACUAAAUAAAUAUGGGUUCUAGGCAGGGUGGUUUGCAGUGACUGUACCUAAAAUAUGACAGCAUUAAAUAUUCAUAGAGGUAUCAUCUUCAUAAGUCUACCUGGAACAAUGGAAAAUCUGAACCUAAAGCCACUUCCUGUUAGUCAAUCUUUAUCCUAUAGCAAAAUCUGAAAAAGCAUAACCAGACAAAUAAGUUGUGUAGUGAGUUCUUGUUGUGUGUUCAAUGCUUCACCUCCACCUCCUCAUCGGUCUGCUCCACAGCUUCGCAUGGCUGGCAAGCACCUCGGUGCCCACGGAGGAGCUGGGCAGGUACUGAGCUCUCUGCAAGGCCAUCCAGUUGGUGAACCACUGAGCUGGAUUACAACCUGGUCCAUGCGACCCUAAGCCCACGGUCUUUCUAUUCUACAACACUGAGUUUCUGACAAUUCUUGGCAAUGAUGACGCAACCUUGCAGGGGCUUCCUUGACGCUCCUGGGAACAGGAACACGUGGCUCCUUGAGAGCAGAACUUUCCUGCUUUGUUCCCUUCUGGAUUCGCAACACUAACAUCAUACUUGACAACUGGUAGGCACUCAGUAAGGAAGUGUUUCCAGAAGACCUGGAAGACAAGACAUAAUGUGGGGACACAAAGGCAGAUGAAGACUUAUUGCUCAUUCUUCUUUUUUCCACUUCCUGAAAUAGACAGUCCUUCCCUCCUGAUCCAAACCCGAUUCAUUGUGUCAUAUCUAACUAAAAUGGCACCUUUCCUA